AUGGCAUGUGUGUCCUCAGUGAAGUAUUCGGUGAAGCUCAAUGGGAAGUUGUUGGAGGCUUUUAGCCCUACGCGGGGUCUUAGACAAGGUGAUCCCUUCUCCCCCUUUUUGUUCCUUUUCGUUGCUGAUGCUCUUUCCGCUCUUCUGCAUAAAUCAGUUAAUGAUGGUCAGCUAGAGGGUCUAAAAAUUUGUAGCAGGGCACCAGUUAUAUCUCACUUGCUCUUUGCGGAUGACUCUUUGCUUUUCUUCCGAGCUUCGACAAACCAGGCAGAGGUGGUGAAAGAUUUGUUGAGCACUUACGCACAGUCUACGGGUCAGCUCUUGAACCCUUCCAAGUGUUCCAUUCUUUUCUCCACAAACUGUCUGGGGGCUGUUUCAGAGUCUAUAAAGCAUACUUUGGGUAUCUCGUGGGAGGUUUUCGAGCCUAAGUACUUGGGGCUGCCAGUGCCGCAAGGAAGAAUGCAUAAAGGCAGAUUUGAGAGUACCCAAGAAAGGUUGAGUAAGAGGCUCGUGGAUUGGAGCGAGCAAUAUACUUCCACUGGUACUAAGGAGAUUCUUAUAAAGUCGGUGGCGCAGGCGAUCCCCACCUUUGUCAUGAGCGUGUUCAAGCUUCCGGCUUCCAUUUGUGAUGACUUAACUCGGCUUAUGAGGCAAUACUGGUGGGGCGUGGAAAAUGGGAAAAGGAAGAUGGCUUGGUUGAGUUGGGAGAAGAUGAUCUUACCCAAAGCUAAAGGGGGGAUGGGCUUUCGUGAUAUGUGUGCGUUUAAUCAAGCCUUGUUGGCCAAGCAAGCUUGGAGGCUUAUUGACACACCCGAAAGCUUAUGCGCUCGUCUGCUGCAUGCAAAGUAUUAUCCCAACGGAAAUAUUCUUGAUACGGUGUUCUCUGGACGAGCUUCGGAGGUCUGGAAAGGAAUCAGCCAUGGGUUGGAACUUGUG
rnacentral:rRNA from 1 species